UUAUUUUGGCUAUUUUGCACCAUCUCAUAUUUGCGCUCUUGUCGGUCCUGUGAUUUUAUUUGUCACAGGUAGUGGGAUUUUUCCCAACAAAUUUUCUGUAGGGUUG